GGAGUCGGCCAGACAGUCGCUUCGCGCUUAGGCGCGGGGAGGAAAGUCCGGGCUCCACAGGGCAGGGCGCCAGGUAACGCCUGGGAGGCGCGAGUCUACGGAAAGUGCCACAGAAAAUAUACCGCCAGCUUGCUGGUAAGGGUGAAAUGGUGCGGUAAGAGCGCACCGCGCGGGUGGUAACACCCGUGGCAGGGAAAACCCCGCCCGGAGCAAGACCAAAUAGGGAAACGAUGGUGCGGCCCGCACCGUUUCCGGGUAGGUUGCUCGAGGUGCACGGUGACGUGUAUCCCAGAUGAAUGACUGUCCUCGACAGAACCCGGCUUAUCGGCCGACUCCUUAU
rnacentral:RNase_P_RNA from 1 species